rnacentral:lncRNA from 1 species
GAAAGAGAAAGUGACUAAUCCAAGGUUAUAGGAGUGAAGCCCAGAGCCUGAGGACAAAACCCUGGUCUUCUGUCUAAAACCUAUUGUCCUUUUACCUCCCACCUUCACUCUGGAUUUGUUUUCUGUGUGGAAAGUGGGGGACUCCGAGUGAGAGCAACAACAACAACAACAAAUCCUUUCCCUUCCAAUUUCCAGGUAAGCAGAAGGGCCCUGUGCAGUAAGCAAGACUGGAACCUGCUGGAGGUGACCUUGAGCUGGGCACCUGAUGGAAGGAGAGAUUCUGAUGGCCCAAGAUAAGGUGAGACCUGUGGGAGGAAAGGCAGCCAGCUGAGACUAUCGCAUCUAAAAAGUGGCCUGUGCCUGCGGGCUCCCACCUACCCUGGGCAGCAGGGGAAGAGUGAGAGGAAGGGGGGUAGGGAGGGGACGUGGCCAGACUUGGGCAGGGACCUGCAGAUACCCCCUUCCCUAGUGCAGGUGUUUUGGGCUAACAGAAAUAAGUAACUGGUGCCCCCCUUUUUCCUCCCCCACCCGGUCAGUCCCCCACCCCCACCCCUGCCACAUAUAACCACCAAGGUUACAGAGGAGAGAGCAGAGAAGGGCAGGAAGGGGAGGACUCAGCCUGCGCAAAGUGGCAAGUAUGGAGCCCUGAGAAGCACAGGCAAUGUUGGGACUCACACAGAAUCUGUCCCUUUCCACUAUGAGAUCUGGAGCAAGCUGCUGAGCCUCUCUGGACCAGUUUCUCUUCCUAUAAAACAGGGAUAAUAAUAAUACCUGGUUUUUGUGAGAAGUCUGAGAAAAUACUUGGAACCUUACAUGUACAUUUGGUGCUCAGAAAAUGGCUGGGUUCAACCAUAGCUCUGCCCUUUCUACCCGGCCCUCUGGAACUUGGAAUGGCAGUAGCAACUACUUGGUAGGGGUGAGUUAACAGAUGUGAACUGCUCAUGUCAGAGGCCUGGUCCAAUGAAUGCUCCAAACUGUCACCUUUAGUGUAGCUGAUGAUUUUCUUUUUCUUUUUCUUUUUUUUUUAAAUUUCUUUAUUUUUUUAGUUUUCGGUGGAUGCAACAUCUUUAUUUUAUUUUUAUGUGGUGCUGAGGAUCAAACCCAGCGCCCUUCACAUGCUAGGCGAGCGCGUUACCUCUUGAGCCACAUCCCCAGCCCCAUAGCUGCUGAUUUUCUUAAUGCUCUUGUUCUACCUUAGGGUUCUGUUAUCCCCCUUAGGGACUCUGGACACAGAAUUAGGCCUUAGGAGGUUUCCAUCCCCAUAGGAACAUGUAGAAAGCUUAAGGCCCCAAACUAUGAAAGGAAAACAGCAAAGUCAAAAUUACUGUUUUGUUAAUUUGUCUAUAAAACAUAACUGAUAUUUCAACUAUAUUAGCUGUAUUUGGAAACAUUCAAUAACAUUUAAAAUCAAUUUCUAUGUUAGAUUUUUUUUCAUUCUUCAAAAAUGUAAAUGAAUGAUGAUGACUAAAUAUCACAAUUAUAAUUUAAGUAACUUGUCACCAAAUAACAUCAAAUGCAAAAUUGUAAACAUGAUUUUGGGUAGGUCAUUGUGAGAGAGUUGAAAAUGCAAAAUUUUAGACGUAUUUAAGGGAUGUAUUUUUUUUUCUUUUUGUUAAAGAAUGAAUGGGAAAAAUAUCCUCCAAAUUCAGGAUGAUAGCAAAGGAAAGGGAAUCAGAGAUGUUGCAAAGGAUGGUUCAAAUAUCUGAGUAACAUUUGAUUUCCUAAGGUGGUAAAUCACAUAGGUUUUUAACAAAAGAAAAAAUUUUUUUAGUUGUAGAUGGACUCAAUGCCUUUAUUUUGUUUAUCUAUUUUUAUGUGGUGCUGAGGAUUGAACCCAGUGCCUCACACAUGUUAGGCAAGGUCUCUUUACCUGCAGUGUGUGCAAGCCAGACUUCCUGGAAUGUCACUGGGUCCCACCCAGUUUUUUGGGACUCCCAGAGACGGAAUGGGUCUUAAGUGAAAAUCUGAAACAGGACUUCCUGUCUCUAGGGAAGAUCCUGCCUGUAGAGCAUUAUGGAUGGUGGGGCCAAUCCUUGGGGCUGGAUUUGAUAUGCAGCCUUACUUGGCUUGAGGUUAGGAACCAGGAACCAAGGAAGAGGUCAGCAAGCCCAGAAUGAAUCCCUGACUGUGAACAACAAGGUAAAAGUUUCUCACACAAUUCUCCUAACCAACCAGAAAUGGAGCAAGAGAGCUAAUGGUGAGAAUAGAAGGCUGGGAAAUGGGAGUCUGUGGGCUAAACCACAGUACCUGCUAUGGACUGAAUAGUAUGUCCCUUAAAUUCAUACAUUGAGGCUGUAGUCUGCACCAUGGCUGUAUUUGGAAUGAGGAAGUCAUUAAGGUUAAAUAGAGUCAUAAGAAUGAAGCCCUGGUCCUGUAGAAUUAGUGUACUUAUAAAAGGAGACAUUAAAGAACUUGCCAGUUCUCUCCAGUACAGGAGCCCACAGUGAAAUGGUGGCCAUCUGCAAGUUAGGAAGAGUCUUCAUCAAGGAACUGAAUUGGCCACCAUCUUGAUCUUGGGUUCCAGCCUCCAGAAUUGUGAGGAAAAGAUUUCUGUUGCUUAAGGAACCCAGUCUGUGGUUCUUACUACAAAAACAUACUUUUAUAUUUAACAGCCAGAGCAGAGACAGGGACCCAGAAGCUUCCUGGCAGCCCAGGAUGAUUACAAUGAAUGGCUCCCUUUGUGUGGCAUGCUAUUCUGCCCAAACUAAUCGGGACUAUGGGACAACCACCCAAACCAAAGCCACUUGAAACAUUCACAAAAUGCAAACAAAACAAAAUAAUGGAGACGCCCAAACCUCACCAUCAAUCCAAACAUGUUUAAUGAGAAGACAGAAAGUGGCAUCACAGUCAAGUACUAGUUCACGGCUCCUACUGACAUGGCUGAGUCUGCAUCCUUUUUGUUGAACAGGAUAUAAACUAAUCCCUGGACAAGAGUUUAGUCAAGCUCCUUGUAGCUGGGAGUCAAUGGAAAACAUGAGUUUGAAUGGUCCUUCUAGUAAAAAAAAAGUAAGUGCUGAAUAAAAUAUUCAACAAAAUAUCUUUUAAAAUGUCUCACUGAGCAAACACAAAAGUAAAUAACCCGUAGAACUAAAAACUUAUGGUACCCUGAAGUUUUCAGACCUUCAGGAUGUACUUUGAUGGCUGUCUUAGGGUUCAUACAGUGAUGUGGGGGGAAAUGUGUGCCUAUACAUAUACAAAUCUUACUGAUACAAAGGAAAUGUAGCAUAUCACUUACAAGUAAUAAUAAAAUACGCAUCACUCUUUAUUAUGAAUUCCACAUAGACAAUGGAUUCUCACAAAAUACUUUUGUUGAUUUUUGCCAUUUCUUGUAUCUGCAGCCAGCCCCUGGCUGCAAUUCACAUAGUUAUAACAUGAAUGUUGGUUGACACUUUUAUGUGAAAGAGGAAGAUGAAAUGAAACAAUGAAGACUUGUUGAAACUUCAUUCAUUACUCAACAACAUAAGCUACUUUCUUGCUGGGUCAGAUAAUAAUUUUCAGACACUGAAGGAAUAUUUUCUUGAUUUUUUUUUUGUACCAGUCACAAUAUCAUGGCUACAGAUACAACACAAUUUAAAAUUUAAUUUAAAUUAUUAAUAUUUUUUCAUAGCUCUCUUUAAGUCUAGACAAUCAAUAAAGCAAUAAACCAAACCCUGAUUCACAACAUUUGAUAAUUUCCAUGUUGUAAAUUCUCCCACCAUGGCUGACUGCAAACUCCCAAAGUGAUGUCACUGAACAUGGAGCUGGGAAAAGAUGCACAACAGCUGUUAUUUAAUAUUUCCAUCACUUUAAAGAUUACUAUAAAGGGAGACCAAGUAGAUUUGAAAAAAGAAUUAAAUCAAUUUUUAUGCAUAAAAAAAUGACAGAAAUAAAAAUUCAGUGGAUGACCAUUGGAUCCUUUAGCCCCAGUCAAGCUGGUGCCACAAGAAAAAGACAAACUGUCCUCAUUGAGCCCUGCCCAAAGGAAAGAUUGGUCAGCAAAGUUAUGCUUGGUUUUGCUAGAGGUCACUGAAUGUUGGGGCCGUUUGUUAUGAAGCAAUUAAAUAGUUGGAACACAUUCUGAAAUGCUUACUUUCUGAAUGCAAGAGAGUUAGCCUGCUGGAAAUGACAGAGAACUCCUGGCCAGAUGAUCCAGGAAGCAACUGGUGGGUGAUCAAGGGGUGGCAAUUAUGAAUUAACUAGGAUGUGUUAAUUCUGUGUUGUUGUUGUUGUUUAAAGAGGUCUAUUUUGCUCACAGUUGUGAGUUUGGGAGACUAAAUGUCCAAACAGCAUGGUGCCAGCUCUGGCAAGGGCCUGUGGUAGAUGGUAUCAUGCAGUGAGACAGAAAGACAGAAGAGAAUGUGCUAACUCUCAAGAACGUGUCAGGUGCUGGAGAAGGGCAUGCCUCUUAGGUGAUACAUCAAAAACUCUAGUGGAGGGUUUGAUUUGAUAAAGUGCAAUAUUAUAAUGUAAUUUUAUAUUUACAGUGGGGAACAUGACUAGUUGCCUACCCAAUAUCUAGUCCCCCUUCUUCUUUACUAAUAGAAGCCCAGUUUUUUCUUUUUCCAAAGCCAAACUGUGUUCAUCUUUUUUUAAAAAAUAUUUUUUAGUUGUUGAUGUACCUUUAUUCUUUAUAUAUUUAUAUGUGGUGCUGAACAUCGAACACAGUGCCUCACACACUCUAGGCAAGUGCUCUGCCACUGAGCCACAAUCCCAGCCCCCUGUGUCCAUAUUUAUUAAAGAUACUUUUCAUAAAAAUUCAUGGUAUUCCAGGUAGGACACAGAACAAACAAUCAUUAACAAUAUACAGAAACUUUCAAAUUCCCUUCUUGGAUGAGCUACCAAAAUCAGAAAGCCGCUAUAAAACCCAAUGAAGUCUUCAUCUGAUGCUUUGAAUAGGGAUUUAAGAGUGACAGUUGACAUUUCAUGUUUAGCUUGUUGUUUAAUAAAUUUUCAUGAGCUGACCCUGAUUUUCAGGAAAUGAGAAUGGCAGAAUUAUCAGUCUGAAGAUCCACAAUCUAGAAAAGGAUCUGCUGCUCUUUUGAGGGACACUGUCUCAAUGAUGUCACUGGAAAGUCCAGAUUGCCCAACACAUUAGUAAAACCAAUUUGUCAGGAGUCAGGUCCCAACAGGUCUCUGGGUUUAGGGGAGUUAAGUCUAAGCUGACAGCAGAGAGGAAGAGGAUGAGUUUGAGUUUUGCCACACCACAAAGCAUAUGUGCCAAGGUAGCUGUGUGUGCCAACCUGAGGGAAUCCCUCCUCCUGGGAGCCCAGAGGAAGUCCCUCAAAACCAGGAGGGAAAGGCGCUUCCCCACAGCAGUCUAGCUUUGGAGACAUUCUGCUGGUGAUACGCUACUUUCCCCAAAACAACAGUGAAGUGUUCUGUGUGCUAAUAACAUUUAUUGUCUUUUUUUUUAAGUAAAACAAAAUUCUGCUCAUUUUUAUAAAGCUUGAUAAUAAUACUAUUUCAAUCUUUAUAGUCACUGGAAACACACAGCGCCCUUGGCAUCUCCAGCACCUUCCACUUCUGUGCCUGGUCUGUCCUGGCCUCUCCACUUUCGGCAGGGCUAUUCCCGUCCUUACCAACUCAGCUUUCCCCUUUGGGUACCUUCUCUCCCUUCUUUGCAGGGGUCCUUUUCAGGCGUGGGCUCUGGUUUGGAGGAGCAGGUUUAGCAGACAGCCUGGUGAAUCUUCUCUGCGGUUCCUCCUUCACCGUGGCUCUAUCUCCUUUAGCAUCCCCUUCAGCUUUCCCUUGGACUUGGUGGCCAUGGUGGAAGAACGCAGGCCUGGACACAGGGAUGCAGCACCAUAUGGUUUUGGUCACUCUGGGCGGUCAUUCUCAUCUCUUCUUCUUCACAUUGCUCUGCCCAAUUGUCUUUUAUGGUAACAGUGUACCCAGUUGAAUACUUUCUCAGACUCCUGUGCAGCUAGGGCGGCCAUGUGACACAGUUCUGCCAUAUGUGGGCUAAGCCAAUAUGUACUAAAAAUUUCUGGGAUAGGCUUUGCUUUCCUAACACAGUGGCCACAAUUUCCUCCUUCCUUAUUUCUGCCUUAUGGAAAAGGCAGAUACAGACAUGAGGCUGGAGGUGGGGCAGUCACUUUGUGACCAUGCAGGGGGUUAAGUCAAAUCCCCCCCCCCCCAGAGUAGAAAGACAAGAGCCUGAAACAUCCAGGACAUCAUGGAAAUGCUGCUCUUCUUCUGGAACAAUUUCCUUCAAACUGCUUGGUAUGUGACAAUCACAAAGUCCCAUUUGGUAAAGCCAUUGCAGAUGUUUAGAAGUUGGGUGUUUUCCUAAUUGUAGAAAGUCUGAGUAAGAUUCUUGACUGAUGAAAGUGUGAUCACAGAGGGGCACAGAGGCUGACUAGGUGGGUGAGGCAGGGUGAAAGGGGACUAAGGGUACUGGGGAUCAAACCCAGGGGCAGUUCACCAUUGAGCUACAUCCCCAGCCCUUUUUAUUUUUUCACAUAGGGUCUUGCUAAGUUGCUGAGGUGGGUAAGGCAGGGUCCUGGGAUUAUAGACUGAGUCCCCAUGCCUGAGUAUGACUCUGUGCUUUUGAAGAAAGCUUUUGAAGCCCUCUGCUUCCAAACCACUUGGCAGCCCUGGGAUUCACAAUACACUAGAAGUUGUUCUUCGUGGCUCCUAUUAGCUGGUGUGGGACUCACUGGCUCUGGCCAGCUCUAGGUUGUAAAGCUGCAGGCCCACACUGGUGAAGGGGGUGAUGUAGAUUCCUAGGGACUGGGACCUCAGCUCCGGCACCUGGGCCUCCACAUUCACUCCAGCCUCUACUCUGGCUAUAGCUCCUUUAGGAAAACUAUGAUUCUGCACUCCCCCACCCCCAAGCUGCCUGGAGUCUUCUUUCUUUCCCACUCCUUCACCCAGGACCUCACUCUUUCCUUGAGCUUCUAUCAGCUCCCCCAUAUCCCAAAUAUAGUGAGGGGAAUUUGAGCCUCUUCCCCCAAAACAAGGCUAUCCCCUGUUCAAAUGACUGGCUGAUGGACAUCAGGGUAAGGACCACUUCAGUUGUGGCUGGUAGACCCAGCUUCUUUGCAGCAUGACUGGCUUCAGAGAAUGAGUCUGAAUUCAUAGGGAUUUUCAGCUCUUCUCAGAGGCCCCAUAGCUCCCAUCUGCUCUGGCUACAUCUCCUGAUGGGCUCCUGUGAGGUACCUGGGCUGCCUCCCCAGGCAUUUUCCUUUGUCCUUGAGUUCCUACAUCUGUGAAAGGAUGCAGUGUUCCAGACCAUUUCCACAGGGCCUGAUGUGAGGGGUUUCUGGGAUUUGAGCAGCCAAGAUAAGGCAGGCCUGGGUCAUGCCCCACUACCUUCAGCCACGCUCUCCUGGCCAGAAAAGGGAGGGCCAGUGCCACAGAGGUCUGGGAUCACAGUGUCCCUUAGACAGAGUUUUACCAGGGAAUAUUACUGGGGUAAAGGAGGGACCACUCAAUCAGCUGUAUGAUAUUCAGCAACUGUAUGAUAUUACCCAACUGUUCUGAGCUGUAAAAAUGGGGCUUAAGAAAAAUACUUAACUAGAAGGAUUUCUGGAGGAUUCAAUACUGCUCCUAAGUGUAAUGCCAGACCCUCAGAAAGUGCUCAAUAAACAUUAUUUCCAUUUUUACUUUCUUUUCUUUAACAGUUCUACACACAUUGCUCAGGCAAACUAGAAGUUUCCAGAAGGAGUGAGAAAGCCAUUGUUGUUCCCUUCAUGCCUAGAAAUACUACCACAAAUGGAUGGCAUCCCCCAGAGACCAUCAGCAAUGGAGUGUGGAGCUCUCAGCAGAAUGAAUGGACAGUUGGGCAAAUGGCUGCAGAGACACAGUAUCCCCCAGAAGACCCAUCCCCAAUCUAGACCCACAAGAACAUACAUUCUUUGUGUCUUUGCCUGUUAAACUUCUUAGAUAUGAGACCUUAAGACUCCCUGUCCAACUGGAGCUAGAUCACCCAGACAAUUCUGUUGCUUUUUUUAGAGGAGGAGAAGGACAUUUUCAUCCUUGUUACAUGUAGAUACCAGGGUCUCAGAAUGAGGGUGAAUGUAUUCAUGUGCCCAGACUUCAUCUUAAUCCAGUUCAAUUAGAAUCUUUAGGGGUGGGGCUGACAUUUAUUUUUAAAGUCCCAGGAGUUUCUAAUGUGUAACCAGGUUUAAGAACUAUUGUCUAUCCAACCUCCUUAUUAUAGAAAUAAAAACAUAUAUGCAACCAGG